ACAUUUCCGACGCAGGCCAAAGUGUAGUAUCUGUUCUAUCAGCUUACAUUCUGAUGCGAGUUAUAUUUGAACUCAAGAUAUUAAACUUGUUUUUGCAAGUUGGCGGAGUGCCUGAAGCCUGCUUCAACUCUGCCGCGGGUCGGCCCGGUGUCCCACUAUUUUCAAGAUUUUUGGGCUACGGACA